AUACGUAGGGAGCAAGCGUUGUCCGGAAUUACUGGGUGUAAAGGGAGUGCAGGCGGGACGGCAAGUCAGAUGUGAAAUAUAUGGGCUCAACCCAUAGACUGCAUUUGAAACUGCUGUUCUUGAGUGAAGCAGAGGCAAGCGGAAUUCCUGGUGUAGCGGUGAAAUGCGUAGAUAUCAGGAGGAACAUCAGUGGCGAAGGCGGCUUGCUGGGCUUUUACUGACGCUGAGGCUCGAAAGCGUGGGGAGC
rnacentral:rRNA from 1 species